AUCUGGCUCAGGAUGAACGCUAGCUACAGGCUUAACACAUGCAAGUCGUGGGGCAGCAUGGAGGUUGCUGCAACUCUGAUGGCGACCGGCGCACGGGUGAGUAACGCGUAUCCAACCUGGCCCUUAGUAGGGGAUAGCCCGGCGAAAGUCGGAUUAAUACCCUAUGUUCUUCUUUGACGGCAUCUGACGAGAAGCAAAGAUUCAUCGCUAAGGGAUGGGGAUGCGUCUGAUUAGGUAGUAGGCGGGGUAACGGCCCACCUAGCCGACGAUCAGUAGGGGUUCUGAGAGGAAGGUCCCCCACAUUGGUACUGAGACACGGACCAAACUCCUACGGGAGGCAGCAGUGAGGAAUAUUGGUCAAUGGGCGAGAGCCUGAACCAGCCAAGUAGCGUGCAGGAUGACUGCCCUAUGGGUUGUAAACUGCUUUUAUGCGGGAAUAAAGUGCACUACGUGUAGUGUUUUGUAUGUACCGCAUGAAUAAGGACCGGCUAAUUCCGUGCCAGCCGCAGC
rnacentral:rRNA from 1 species